rnacentral:rRNA from 1 species
UUGCUCUUCAACGAGGAAUGCCUAGUAAGCGCAUGUCAUCAGCAUGCGUUGAUUACGUCCCUGCCCUUUGUACACACCGCCCGUCGCUACUACCGAUUGAAUGGCUCGGUGAGGCCUUCGGACUGGCCCAGGGAGGUCGGCAACGACCACCCAGGGCCGGAAAGUUGGUCAAACCCGGUCAUUUAGAGGAAGUAAAAGUCGUAACAAGGUCUCCGUAGGUGAACCUGCGGAGGGAUCAUUACAAGAACGCCCGGGCUUCGGCCUGGUUAUUCAUAACCCUUUGUUGUCCGACUCUGUUGCCUCCGGGGCGACCCUGCCUUCGGGCGGGGGCUCCGGGUGGACACUUCAAACUCUUGCGUAACUUUGCAGUCUGAGUAAACUUAAUUAAUAAAUUAAAACUUUUAACAACGGAUCUCUUGGUUCUGGCAUCGAUGAAGAACGCAGCGAAAUGCGAUAAGUAAUGUGAAUUGCAGAAUUCAGUGAAUCAUCGAAUCUUUGAACGCACAUUGCGCCCCCUGGUAUUCCGGGGGGCAUGCCUGUUCGAGCGUCAUUUCACCACUCAAGCCUCGCUUGGUAUUGGGCAACGCGGUCCGCCGCGUGCCUCAAAUCGUCCGGCUGGGUCUUCUGUCCCCUAAGCGUUGUGGAAACUAUUCGCUAAAGGGUGUUCGGGAGGCUACGCCGUAAAACAACCCCAUUUCUAAGGUUGACCUCGGAUCAGGUAGGGAUACCCGCUGAACUUAAGCAUAUCAAUAAGCGGAGGA